AAAUAUGCUGGAUGGCCCUGGUUUAAAUUCAAUUCUUCAACACAAGCCAUUUAUUAAGGAGUGAGGGCAGGCUAAGAGUGGAGACUGAGGUGGGUCUCAAUGAAUGAUGCGGUGAUAAGGAGGUCAGAUAUACCAGUGGGACAUCUCUGCUUGUAGAGCUUUAUGACUUUUUAAUGGAACUGCAGUCACUCCAGCCUGCUUCAAUCACAGCCAAUUAGCAGCUCCUGCUCGUUAACACUGCUCCCAACACUGCACUAAUUCGAGGGAAACACAUGUGGGCGCCAUGUUUGCGAAAGCUUGUGUGUUUGGAGGGGAUUAUGGGAAGAUAUACUCCCUCAGCUCAUGAACCAUCAUCCUACCACAUCCUAAAGCAGACAGCAGCGUGUGACCGCCAGCCCCACCGCCACGGGAAAGCACGGACCCACACUGCACUAGCAGCACCUCACAGACAAGACGCCGAGCACCGAAUGCCCAAACCACCUCACCGCACCGCCUUUUCAGUUAAUAAAAACCACCCUUCGGGGAACUUACCCUCAUCCUCGUGUCGUGUCCUACUUCACCCCGCCACAAUAUAUAUAUACACACACACACACACACACAUUGCAUUCUGUUUUUAUUCACAAUUUGUAUAGUGUCCCAACUUUUUUGGAAUCUGGUUUGUAUUUCUACAUGUCUCCCU
rnacentral:lncRNA from 12 species